UGUAAAGUUCAAGCUCCGACUUGUGAGGGCGAAACCGCGAAUGGCUCAUUAAAUCAGUCAUGAUCUACUUGAUUGUUUAAAGUUUAUAUGGAUAACUGUGGUAAUUCUAGAGCUAAUACAUGCGUGAAGGGGGCGACUCGGCAACGAGAAGCUCUGCGUUUAUUAGACUAAGACCGGCGGGCGACAGCAAUGUCGCUCUCUCAAGCUUAAUGGUGACUCUGAGUAAACAAUGGGUGCAAGCCCAUGGUGCCGACCUGGCAACUUAAACGCGUUCGCAAGAGCGCGGCCAGGCGAAUCAAUCGAGUGUCUGCUCUAUCAACUGUGGAUGGUAAGGUAAUUGCUUACCAUGGUGGUGACGGGUAACGGGGAGUUAGGGCUCGAUUCCGGAGAACAAGCCUGAGAAACGGCUAGUAGGACUAAGGUCUGCAGCAGGCGCGAAACUUACACAAUGCUAGAUUUCUAAGAAAUAGCGAUGUAGUGAAGAAAAAUAACGAUGUGCUUGUUUUUAAACAAACUUGCACAAUUGGAAUGAGACGACUUUAAAAGGGUCAGUCGAGUAACAAAUGGAGGGCAAGUCUGGUGCCAGCAGCCGCGGUAAUUCCAGCUCCAUUAGCAUACAUUAAAGUUGUUGCGGUUAAAAAGCUCGUAGUUGAAUUUUGGACGAGCUCUUGGGCGCGGCGGCCGUCAAGGGUGCGCGCGCUCUCCUCGCGGAGACACGCCGCCUGGUCGUCGUUUGCCUGUUGAGCUCGUUGUUUCGUCACUUAAUCGAGUGCGAAGCGGGGCGGUGCGUACACGAGAGACAGUCGCAAGACUUUUCUCAGCGCAACGCCAUGUUUACCUUGAGAAAAUUAGAGUGCUCAGAGCAGGCAGUUGGGAUGUAAAAGUCUCUUUAUGCUUGAAUAAUGUUGCAUGGAAUAAUAGAAUACGGCCUCGGUUCUAUUCUGUUGGUCUUAUAGAACAACAAACAAGUUGGUUAGGGCGCUCACGGUCCCUCUUUUGGGUGGCUCGUUGGCGCGCUUGUUGUCUCGGAGGUAAAAGUUCGAGUACCAUCGCGCCUGGCGAGCCAUACAAGCCCUCUAGAGAAGGCCAGCCCUCGAUCAGCUGAGGCAAUGGUUAAAAGAAAUAGUCGCGGCGGCAUCAGUACUGCAUCGUGAGAGGUGAAAUUCUUAGACCGAUGCAAGACUAACUGAAGCGAAAGCGUUUGCCGAGGAUAUUUUCAUUAAUCAAGAACGAAAGUUAGAGGUUCGAAGGCGAUCAGAUACCGCCCUAGUUCUAACCAUAAACGUUGCCAACUAGCAAUUGGGUUGCGAUUCCUUUAGUUGGAGCGUAAAAAACUCCAGCCAUUAUGAUCCACCCAGCGGCUCUCGUAGGGAAACCAAAGUGUUUGGGUUCCGGGGGAAGUAUGAUUGCAAAGUUGAAACUUAAAGGAAUUGACGGAAGGGCACCACCAGGAGUGGAGCCUGCGGCUUAAUUUGACUCAACACGGGGAAACUUACUAGAUUAGAACUCUGGAAUGAUUGACAGAUUGAUAGCUCUUUCUUGAUUCAGAGGUUGGUGGUGCAUGGCCGUUCUUGAUUCGUAUUCCGAAACGUCUGCUUAAUUGCGAUAACGAGUGAGACCUCCUGAUGUUAACUAGUUGCCUUGGUGCGCUGUGGGACGCAAAAGUCUCUGCGCGUUCUAGUGCGUGGUUAGAGUUUCGGCUCUGCUGCGUGCACCGCGCAGCGAUGUCCUCUGCUCGCCGGCAGACUUCUUAGCACGAUUUGCAGCAAAAAGCUGCCAGAGACGAGGCAAUAACAGGUCUGUGAUGCCCUUAGAUAUUCUAGGCCGCACGCGUGCUACAAUGGCGUGUGCAGAGAGCUUGUUCGAGGUUCGUCCAGAGAGAACUGCUUGUUUGGUGCAAGAGUGUGCGGGCAACUGUGCGCACUUGUGUCGGCUUGUAAGUGACUCUGGAGCCGAGCUAAGAGAAACCGCAGCCGAAAGGUUGUGGCAAUCAUAAAUACACGCCGUGAUUUGGGAUUGGGGAUUGCAAUUGUUGCCCAUGAACGAGGAAUUCCCAGUAAGCGCAAUUCAUCAUAUUGCGUUGAUUACGUCCCUGCCCUUUGUACACACCGCCCGUCGCUACUACCGAUUGGAAGUUUUAGUGAGGCAUCUGGAUUUGCUGGCCAGGAGGAGGGCAACCUUCUCAGGCUUGGCGGAGAAGUUUGUCGAACUCAAAUUUCUAGAGGAAGUAAAAGUCGUAACAAGGUUUCCGU
rnacentral:rRNA from 1 species